rnacentral:rRNA from 1 species
GACGAACGCUGGCGGCGUGCUUAACACAUGCAAGUCGAACGGAAAGGCCCUGCUUUUGUGGGGUGCUCGAGUGGCGAACGGGUGAGUAACACGUGAGUAACCUGCCCUUGACUUUGUGAUAACUUCAGGAAACUGGGGCUAAUACCGGAUAGGAUCUCCUGCUGCAUGGUGUGGGUUGGAAAGUUUCGGCGGUUGGGGAUGGACUCGCGGCUUAUCAGCUUGUUGGUGGGGUAGUGGCUUACCAAGGCUUUGACGGGUAGCCGGCCUGAGAGGGGGACCGGCCACAUUGGGACUGAGAUACGGCCCAGAAUCCUACGGGAGGCAGCAGUGGGGAAUAUUGCACAAUGGGGGGAAGCCUGAUGCAGAAACGCCGCGUGCGGGAUGACGGCCUUCGGGUUGUAAACCGAUUUCGCCUGUGACGAAGCGUGAGUGACGGUAAUGGGUAAAGAAGCACCGGCUAACUACGUG